rnacentral:sRNA from 1 species
UAUUUGCGUGAAGGAUUAAAGUGAAAAUCCUUUUUGCGGCCGCAGCGCAGCGAAGGCCGAAAAAGAUUGCAGCGGAAAGCCUGACAGCGG